rnacentral:rRNA from 1 species
GAAUUUUGGACAAUGGGGGCAACCCUGAUCCAGCCAUUCCGCGUGUGCGAUGAAGGCCUUCGGGUUGUAAAGCACUUUUGGCAGGAAAGAAAUCGCACCAAUUAAUACUUGGUGUGGAUGACGGUACCUGCAGAAUAAGCACCGGCUAACUACGUGCCAGCAGCCGCGGUAAUACGUAGGGUGCAAGCGUUAAUCGGAAUUACUGGGCGUAAAGCGUGCGCAGGCGGUUCGGAAAGAGAGGUGUGAAAUCCCAGGGCUCAACCUUGGAACUGCACUUUUAAACUACCGAGCUAGAGUAUGUCAGAGGGGGGUGGAAUUCCGCGUGUAGCAGUGAAAUGCGUAGAUAUGCGGAGGAACACCGAUGGCGAAGGCAGCCCCCUGGGAUAAUACUGACGCUCAUGCACGAAAGCGUGGGGAGCAAACAGGAUUAGAUACCC